GAUGAACGCUGGCGGCGUGCCUAAUACAUGCAAGUCGAGCGAACAGAUAAGGAGCUUGCUCCUUUGACGUUAGCGGCGGACGGGUGAGUAACACGUGGGUAACCUACCUAUAAGACUGGGAUAACUUCGGGAAACCGGAGCUAAUACCGGAUAACAUUGGAACCGCAUGGUUCUAAAGUGAAAGAUGGUUUUGCUAUCACUUAUAGAUGGACCCGCGCCGUAUUAGCUAGUUGGUAAGGUAACGGCUUACCAAGGCGACGAUACGUAGCCGACCUGAGAGGGUGAUCGGCCACACUGGAACUGAGACACGGUCCAGACUCCUACGGGAGGCAGCAGUAGGGAAUCUUCCGCAAUGGGCGAAAGCCUGACGGAGCAACGCCGCGUGAGUGAUGAAGGGUUUCGGCUCGUAAAACUCUGUUAUUAGGGAAGAACAAAUGUGUAAGUAACUGUGCACGUCUUGACGGUACCUAAUCAGAAAGCCACGGCUAACUACGUG
rnacentral:rRNA from 1 species